GCGGGCAGCAACCGCGUCGUUCUAUGCCUGUGGCUUGUCCUGGCAGCCCGGUGGCUCUAAAAAAAACUCCGAGAAAGUUGCGUCUUCCUCCCGGGCGCCGAGGAGGUGGCAACGCGGUAAGCAACACCGGGUCUCUGAGACAGCUGCUCCGGAGCGGGUGCAGGGCCCAGUCCAGUGCACUUGUUUAUUGUCGCGCCUCUGGUGCGAGCCAAGCUGCAGCAGACAUGAUGGGCCCGGGGCGAAGCGGGCGCUCGGUGGCCGAUAGAUGGCAGCCGAGGGCGAAGGCGUCCCUGGGCUAGGGCGGCGCAACCGGGGCCCCCUUGGAUGUCACAUUCGUAGGAAGAGAGAGAAGUCUUGGACCAUGUGUGUAAUUCGAGCGUGGGACUGUGCAAUUCUCGGAUUGGGAAAGGGAGGAGUGGAAAUAACCCCGGCAGUGCCAGGCUUGCUGGUGGUCAGGAACAGAUGAUUCCAGCCCUGUGCUGAUCGCCUGCCUUCCUCCUGCCAUUCAGAAUGCUGCUGUCUCGUGUACUUACUGUUAAGGAUCCUGGAAAAGGGAGUGGUUCCUCCUAGCUGCAAACAAGGGCGCUACUUUUCUUUUCUCUUUAAUAGAAUUACGUUUUAUAGGUGUGUCUAGGCAACACAAGGGAAUGUGAAAGACUUUCAGAGGGAAUGUUUGUGAAUACAUCUGGUGUGUACUAAAAAGCUGGAAAACCCCUAAGUAAAUGCAAUAUCGAUAGAAAGCGAGUUUCUUGAAGAGUCAUCUGCUAAACUCCACUAGAGUCAUCUCUACAGGUGUGGUUAAGAGAAAAAAAAAUUGCCAUUAAGGAAUCAGCAAAUAGGAUGUCUGAAGUGAGGAUAUAGCACCUAUCUCUGAGAUUAAAGUCAUCUGAUCAAAAAUGAUGCCUCUGAGACUAUAACAAAGGAAUGAAUAAUGAAAUAUAAGAAUGGGGAUUCUGCACUAACUCUAUGGGGAAGAAAACAAUGGUAAGAGCAAAAGGAUCAACAGCAGCAACUCCUGUUUCCAUCGAUUUGUUUAUAAGAUGCCGUCUACAUUAUUCCAAAAUAUCCCAGCCUUUUUCUCCCCUGUCAAGCUUCCCUGUCUCUAAAAGAGAUCUUGCUCUUCCUGCACAGAAAGAAAUAAUAAUAUAUCACUGAAAUAUUAUUAUUACAUUUAAAGUUACUUACACUCUUUCCCAUUCCUAUAAUUUCCUAGUUGGAAGCCCUCGCACUUGGGAAAUUAUUUAAUGUGAUUUUUUCUCCCUGACAUAUAAAUUGUCACAUCACCUUAAAUGUUGGGACUUCAGGUUGGGAAGUGGGUGGAUAAUAUUCUUGAGGAAGCUGCCUUCCUUUUAUAGAUAAUGUUACCUCCUUGUAAAGGUUGCUUUCUAUGUAUUAUUCUACUUUUUUUCUAAGAAUAUACCAUAUAAUGAAAACUUUACAGGCUUGACAUCCUAUUACUAAGAUUAUAAUUGUUGAGGUCUUCAAUAGAAUUUCAAGUCAAAUAUGUUGUGCUAUAUGCCUACUUACAUUUCACUCUUUGAUUCACCUAGUUAGGAUCUCAGAAUUGAACUUUAAUUGCAGAUUUAUUACUUCUUUACUCUCUUCAUGUAUUAAUUUAAAAUUUACUUUUUCCUACCUUCAUCUUGGUUUGAGAAGGUUAUUUCCCUUUCAUUUGAUUUAUUUGUUUUAAUUUACAUGUGCAUAUUUAUUACCUGUAUAUAAGCAAAAUUUAUAGAAGAGGAUAGUAUGAGUUAAUAAAUAAGUAUAUUAUCAGGAUAUUUUCUUUAUAUUUAAUAUAUGUUGUAAUUAAAAUGCACUGUUUAGCUGAACUGUGCCUCCUGGAAACUGUAGCAUUUAAAGACAGCACUAUGUGAAAUAUAAAAUUAUGUUUUUUUUCUCUGUGUCUAUGAUUUAUUGAAGUAAUGUUCUUCAGGAAAAUUUUUUUAAUUUUCAAAUUUAUAAUUGACAUAAUAAUUGUACAUAUUUAUAGGGUACAAUGUGAUGUUUCAAUGCAUGUCGAUAAUAUAACGAUCAAAUUGGAAUAAUUACCAUAUCUAUCACUUUAAACAUUUGUCAUUUUUAUGUGACAGGUGACAGCAUUUAAAAUAUUCUGUUCUAGCUAUCUUGAAAUAUACAGCAAAUUGUAGUUUGCUGUAAUCAUCCUUCUGAAAUUAAUUUUUUCUGAGUUUAGAUUUUCAGAACACCAAACUGGUAACCAAAUUAUUAAUCAAAUUGACAGAAAAUUUUAUUCUUGUUAAUAAAAAUACCAAUUUAUAUUUACAUUUGUAACUGCUAUGUCUAUUGUGAGCUGUAAUCCCUUUAUAGAGGUAAAUAUGCAAAUAAAAUAAGCAAAUGGUGAAAAAGCAGCCUUUCAGGCUGACUACUUUCUAAAUAGAUCUAAACUUCAAUCCAAAUAAGAAAAUGCAAUAUUGAAAUUUUAAGGAUGCUAAGUCAUUUUGUGGGGGUAAAGGAUUAAUAUUAAAUUUCAGGAGUUAGAUUAGGACAGUGACUAAAAUGAAUAAGAUUAGGAAUUCAAGAUUUUUUCUUAAAUGUAUUGAGCUGUGAUGACCCAUGUCAAUUAAAAUUUUCCAGGUUACGUGACAAACACUAUAACCUUUACAACAUAAAUUGUGGAGAUUUGUAUUUUGAAUAAGGUUCAACUAAGUAGAAAUGAUAACCUCCAUAAUGUUAUUUACUACUCCUGGAAAUUUUUUUUGAUAAAAAAUAAAAAUGUUAUCGUAAUUACAGUAGUGAGUCAUAUGUAAUGCCUCAAUGGCAAUUUUAGUUUAUUGUCCCCCAAAAUAACAUUACUAUUCUACAUAGCUAAGUUUAUUGGUUUCAGCAUGACAUAAAUAGGCCUACGUUUGAAAAAUAAUUUAACCUCUCUUAUUGAGGUUAUCCUUUCUAUUUACUUGAACCUUAUUCAUCUUUCUAGGCAUUAUCAUAUAGUGAAAAAUACUGAAAUAUACAGAUAAAUAUUAAUUAUAAAUAUCACAGCCACCAAUUACUGAGCCAUCACCAUGUGUCAGACAUGUUAAGGAUGUAUCACACGUCAUUUCCAACACUCUUAACAGCACGCAGUGUAAAUUUUUUCAGCUCCAUUGAAAUUUCCUCCAUUGCUUAUAAACAAACUGAGCUUAAAAGAUGCUAAAGUAGCCAAGUGCAUAGAAUGAGUGAUUGACAUGGAUUCAAACCCAGGCUUGAAAACUCAAUCUCUUUCUACCAACAAAACUUCCUUAGAAAAAGAAUAAACCUACACAAAACAAUUGGGGAUAGUCCCUACCUUUCAAUGGCCACAACAUUUUGUUUGAUUUUUAUAGAUUUCAUGUUCUUUAUUUUCCAGCUAGGAACAAUUUGUCUAACUCACAAGGUUAAUGUGGAUACUCCCUCUCAAAAAUGUUUGUUUAUUUUAAUUCCCAGUUCCAUGAAGUAUUUUACGUUUAUUUAUAAUUUGUUCUGAAAUUAAACCUGCAUGUUUAUGGGUGUCACAAUGUGAUCUGAGGCACGUUGGAUGACCCCAAGACCCUUUUAGUGUGUCCAAGAGUGCCUCAGUUUGUUUUCAAGUACUUAUCUGUACAUAGCUGGAUCUUCUUUAUAUACUUCAACCAGAACAACAUACCAUAACCCACUGAGUUCAGAAAAGUGGAAUAUUCAGUGAUCUACUAAGCCAAUCAUUAAAGAAUUUCACAAAAAUACAAAGCAACACAGAUCUCACUAAACCUACUUUUGCUUUGCAAAAUAACCAUUUGUCAUCAAAAUGUUACUUUUGUUAAUAUUUAUGUAUAUGUUAUUACUAUUUUAAAAAUUUAGUGAAUUGCUAGGAAAAUUAGUGAGUAUUUAAAAUUUUUUUCAGUUUUAAUUUUUGUUUUGUUUUGUUUUGUUUUGAUAUGGAGUCUUUAUCUGUUGCCCAGGCUGGAGUGCAGUGGCGCCAUCUCGGCUCACUGCAAGCUCUGCCUCCCGGGUUGACACCAUUCUCCUGCCUCAGCCUCCCGAGUAUCUGGGACUACAGGCGCCCACCACCACGCCUGGC
ensembl:lncRNA MIR4500HG MIR4500 host gene